rnacentral:rRNA from 1 species
UACGUAGGGUGCGAGCGUUGUCCGGAAUUAUUGGGCGUAAAGAGCUCGUAGGCGGUUUGUCGCGUCGGCCGUGAAAACUUGGGGCUCAACCCCAAGCCUGCGGUCGAUACGGGCAGGCUAGAGUUCGGUAGGGGAGACUGGAAUUCCUGGUGUAGCGGUGAAAUGCGCAGAUAUCAGGAGGAACACCGGUGGCGAAGGCGGGUCUCUGGGCCGAUACUGACGCUGAGGAGCGAAAGCGUGGGGAGCGAACAGG